rnacentral:rRNA from 1 species
GAAUCUGCAAUCAGGUCGGGGACAACCACUGGAAACGGUGGCUAAUACCGGAUGAGCCGAGAGGUAAAAGAUUAAUUGCCUGAAGAUGAGCUCGCGUCUGAUUAGCUAGUAGGUGUGGUAAGAGCGCACCUAGGCGACGAUCAGUAGCUGGUCUGAGAGGAUGAUCAGCCACACUGGGACUGAGACACGGCCCAGACUCCUACGGGAGGCAGCAGUGGGGAAUUUUCCGCAAUGGGCGAAAGCCUGACGGAGCAAUACCGCGUGAGGGAGGAAGGCUCUUGGGUUGUAAACCUCUUUUCUCAAGGAAUAAUAUUGAAGGUACUUGAGGAAUAAGCAUCGGCUAACUCCGUGCCAGCAGCCGCGGUAAUACGGAGGAUGCAAGCGUUAUCCGGAAUGAUUGGGCGUAAAGGGUCCGCAGGUGGUUGUGUAAGUCUGCUGUUAAAGAGUGAGGCUUAACCUCAUAAGAGCAGUGGAAACUACACAACUAGAGUACGUUCGGGGUAGCAGGAAUUCCUGGUGUAGCGGUGAAAUGCGUAGAGAUCAGGAAGAACACCGGUGGCGAAAGCGUGCUACUAGGCCGUAACUGACACUGAGGGACGAAAGCUAGGGGAGCG